rnacentral:SRP_RNA from 1 species
GUUCAGGAACCAUGCGGGCAUAAACCGCCUAACCCCGCCAGGUCCGGAAGGAAGCAACGGUAAGCGAAUUUGUGCCGCGCCGUGGUAAUCUUGAGCGCG